AGUGAACGCUGGCGGUAGGCCUAACACAUGCAAGUCGAACGGCAGCACAGUAAGAGCUUGCUCUUACGGGUGGCGAGUGGCGGACGGGUGAGGAAUACAUCGGAAUCUACUUUUUCGUGGGGGAUAACGUAGGGAAACUUACGCUAAUACCGCAUACGACCUACGGGUGAAAGCAGGGGAUCUUCGGACCUUGCGCGAUUGAAUUAGCCGAUGUCGGAUUAGCUAGUUGGCGGGGUAAAGGCCCACCAAGGCGACGAUCCGUAGCUGGUCUGAGAGGAUGAUCAGCCACACUGGAACUGAGACACGGUCCAGACUCCUACGGGAGGCAGCAGUGGGGAAUAUUGGACAAUGGGCGCAAGCCUGAUCCAGCCAUACCGCGUGGGUGAAGAAGGCCUUCGGGUUGUAAAGCCCUUUUGUUGGGAAAGAAAAGAAGCAGGUUAAUACCCCGCUGUUCUGACGGUACCCAAAGAAUAAGCACCGGCUAACUUCGUG
rnacentral:rRNA from 1 species